UACGUAGGGUGCAAGCGUUGUCCGGAAUUAUUGGGCGUAAAGAGCUCGUAGGCGGUUUGUCGCGUCUGCUGUGAAAAAUCCAGGGCUUAACCCUGGACCUGCAGUGGGUACGGGCAGACUGGAGUGCGGUAGGGGAGAUCGGAAUUCCUGGUGUAGCGGUGAAAUGCGCAGAUAUCAGGAGGAACACCGGUGGCGAAGGCGGAUCUCUGGGCCGUAACUGACGCUGAGGAGCGAAAGCAUGGGGAGCGAACAGG
rnacentral:rRNA from 1 species